rnacentral:misc_RNA from 1 species
UCAGAUACAUGAGGCUCGUAUUUUGAAUCCAAAAGAAUGUUGUUGCUAGAAAUGUCCCGAUGAAUGAUUGGAAAAGGGCAAUUAUGGUGCAUAUAAGAUAACGCAUUGGCCACCCCUUUGACAAUAUUUAGCCUUCUGAUCCAAUCCAGUUCUGCUGCUUGCUCUUCACUUGUUAAAAUGCUUCUCAAACUCCCCCUUUCCACGAACUGAUAAACCAAAAAAGAGUGCUUUGAAUUUGAACAAAAACCAUGUAACUUCACAAUAUUUCGAUGACGAAUGUUUAUCAAUGCACAAAUAUCACUUUUAAACGCUUUGAAAUCAGU